UCUCGCCGGGGGCCCGCGCCCGUCCUGCCGCCCCCCGCCCGGACGGGGUGCAGGCAGGCGGGGAAACUAUCUUCAUAUGCACGCAGGGUGCGAUGGUGGGACUCCCGAGUGCAGUCUAUCCCAAACGGGACGGCCGCUUUUCUGCACUUUAAGCAGUUGCCCGAAACAAGGGGUGGGGCAAGACGGCUGCCAGCCGCCGCGGUAAUAGCCGCACCCCGAGUAGUAGUCAUUGUUAUUGGGCUUAAAGUGUUCGUAGCCGCACACACAAGUCUGCUGUGAAAUCCAUGCGCUUAACGUAUGGACAUGCAGCGGAUACUGUGUGUCUAGGAACCGGACGGCGUCGAGGCUAUUCCCGGGGUAGGGGUGAAAUCCUAAAAUCCUGAGAGGAGCACCUGUGGCGAAAGCGCUCGACGAGUACGGAUUCGACGGUGAGGAACGAAAGCCAGUGGAGCAAAGCGGAUUAGAUACCCGCGUAGUACUGGCUGUAAACA
rnacentral:rRNA from 1 species